GGGGGCAUAGCUCAGUGGUAGAGCAUUCGACUGCUGAUCGAGAGAUCCCAGGUUCAAACACCGGUGCCCCCU
rnacentral:tRNA from 1 species